rnacentral:rRNA from 1 species
AUGCUUUGGAUUAGAGUAAAUGAAUCUAAUUCGUCCACGCCUACGAAUCAGUCGACAUUUUGUACAAAUUUUACUAAUGAAAUCUCUUAUUUUCAUAUUUCCUUUUUUUCACUAUGA